rnacentral:tRNA from 1 species
GGCCAGAUGGUGUAGUUGGUCAUACGCCUGGCUAUCUCAGGCCUGGAAAAACCUCGAGAUCGUAGGUUCAAAUCCUACUCUGGCCC